rnacentral:rRNA from 1 species
GAUGAACGCUGGCGGCGUGCCUAAUACAUGCAAGUCGAGCGAACAGAUGAGAAGCUUGCUUCUCUGAUGUUAGCGGCGGACGGGUGAGUAACACGUGGGUAACCUACCUAUAAGACUGGGAUAACUCCGGGAAACCGGGGCUAAUACCGGAUAAUAUUUUGAACCGCAUGGUACAAUAGUGAAAGACGGUUUCGGCUGUCACUUAUAGAUGGACCCGCGACGUAUUAGCUAGUUGGUAAGGUAACGGCUUACCAAGGCGACGAUACGUAGCCGACCUGAGAGGGUGAUCGGCCACACUGGAACUGAGACACGGCCCAGACUCCUACGGGAGGCAGCAGUAGGGAAUCUUCCGCAAUGGGCGAAAGCCUGACGGAGCAACGCCGCGUGAGUGAUGAAGGUCUUCGGAUCGUAAAACUCUGUUGUUAGGGAAGGACAAAUUUGUUAGUAACUGAACAAGUCUUGACGGUACCUAACCAGAAAGCCACGGCUAACUACGUGCCAGCAGCCGCAGUAA